AGUGAACGCUGGCGGUAGGCCUAACACAUGCAAGUCGAACGGCAGCACAGUAAGAGCUUGCUCUUACGGGUGGCGAGUGGCGGACGGGUGAGGAAUACAUCGGAAUCUACUUUUUCGUGGGGGAUAACGUAGGGAAACUUACGCUAAUACCGCAUACGACCUACGGGUGAAAGCAGGGGAGCUUCGGACCUUUCGCGAUUGAAUGAGCCGAUGUCGGAUUAGCUAGUUGGCGGGGUAAAGGCCCACCAAGGCAACGAUCCGUAGCUGGUCUGAGAGGAUGAUCAGCCACACUGGAACUGAGACACGGUCCAGACUCCUACGGGAGGCAGCAGUGGGGAAUAUUGGACAAUGGGCGAAAGCCUGAUCCAGCCAUACCGCGUGGGUGAAGAAGGCCUUCGGGUUGUAAAGCCCUUUUGUUGGGAAAGAAAAGCAGCAGGUUAAUCCCCCGCUGUUCUGACGGUACCCAAAGAAUAAGCAACGGCUAACUUCGUG
rnacentral:rRNA from 1 species